rnacentral:lncRNA from 1 species
ACCAUUAAGCUUCAACAGGGUAGAAGACAUGAUUCUGAUGAGGAUGACCAUGUCAAUGACCGUGAUGUCAAAAACAAGACGAUUCAGAAAGAGAAAAGACAUGUUGCUGAGGAUAAAUAUGAUGAUGGUCGUGAUGCUAAAAACAAGACCUCACAAAGAGGUAGAAGACAUGAUUCUGAUGAGGAUGACCAUGACAAUGACCGUGAUGUCAUAAACAAGAUGAUUCAGAAAGAAAAACGACAUGUUGCUGAGGAUAAAUAUGAUGAUGGUCGUGAUGCUAAAAACAAGAAGUCACAAAGAAAACACUAUUCUGAUGAUGAUGGUGGUGGUGAUCCUGAUGUAAAAAUCAGGAAGAUUCAGGAAGGGAGAAGACAUAACUCUAAAGCUGAGUAUGUGAUUGAUGGAUCAAGUGCUAGUCAGGAGUUGUUGCGGGGUAAGAGAAAACUAGACGAUGAAAGCCUGGAUCAACGUGAGGGGAAGUCAAGGAGGAAAUGACAAUGAUGAUGGUCGUGAUGCUAAAAACAAGAAGUCACAAAGAAAACACUAUUCUGAUGAUGAUGGUGGUGGUGAUCCUGAUGUAAAAAUCAGGAAGAUUCAGGAAGGGAGAAGACAUAACUCUAAAGCUGAGUAUGUGAUUGAUGGAUCAAGUGCUAGUCAGGAGUUGUUGCGGGGUAAGAGAAAACUAGACGAUGAAAGCCUGGAUCAACGUGAGGGGAAGUCAAGGAGGAGAGAUUCUAGUAAAGACGAAAAGUAUUUAAGGGCUGAUACUGAAGCUGAGAACCCAAAUAGGUCAUACAGGAGUACAGAGGAUAGGAGUAAAGAUCAACAGACAAGAAGAUCUGGUGGAGAAUAUGAAGGUAAUGAUGGAGAGCGUGAAAAUAAGAUUCAGAGUGGGAAUGAGCUGCAACGUGAAAGCCAACGGGAGAAUCGAGAUUAUGAAGUGCGUGGACAGGAGAGAAGAGAAAGCAGGGAUGAUGACCGCUGGGAAAGGAAACACAAAAGAGAU